rnacentral:rRNA from 1 species
UAGGUUAGUAAGCGAACCCAGCGAACUGAAACAUCUAAGUAGCUGGAGGAAAGGAUAUCAACCGAUACUCCGUAAGUAGUGGCGAGCGAAAGCGGAUCAGGCCAGUGGUUUUAAUUGUACAACCAAAAUUACCUGGAAAGGUAAACCGUAGAGAGUGAUAGUCUCGUAUGGGUAAUGACGAUUAAAAUCCUUGAGUAAGACGGGACACGUGAAAUCCUGUCCGAACAUGGGGGGACCACCCUCCAAGCCUAAGUACUACUGUGUGACCGAUAGUGAACUAGUACCGUGAGGGAAAGGUGAAAAGAACCCCGACGAGGGGAGUGAAAUAGAUCCUGAAAUUGAAUGCUUACAAGCUGUCGAAGCCCGCAAGGGUGACGGCGUACCUUUUGUAUAAUGGGUCAGCGAGUUAGUUUAAGUUGCAAGCUUAAGCCGUAAGGUGUAGGCGUAGCGAAAGCGAGUCUGAAUAGGGCGUUAGUAUCUUGAAUUAAACCCGAAACCGAGUGAUCUAGCCAUGAGCAGGUUGAAGAUAAGGUAAUACUUAUUGGAGGACCGAACCAGUUGACGUUGAAAAGUCUUUGGAUGACUUGUGGUUAGGGGUGAAAGGCCAAUCAAACUCGGAUAUAGCUGGUUCUCCGCGAAAACUAUUUAGGUAGUGCGUCACAUGAAUACCAUCGGGGGUAAAGCACUGGAUGGGCAAGGGGGAAGAAAUUCUUACUAAGUCCAACCAAACUCUGAAUACCGAUGAGUUAUAUGUGGCAGACAGACUACGGGUGCUAAGGUCCGUGGUCGAGAGGAAAACAGUCCAGACCAACAGCUAAGGUCCC